CCAGACUCCUACGGGAGGCAGCAGUGGGGGAUAUUGCACAAUGGGGGCAACCCUGAUGCAGCGACGCCGCGUGAGCGAUGGAGUACUUCGGUAUGUAAAGCUCUGUCAGCAGGGAAGAGAAUGACGGUACCUGACCAAGAAGCCCCGGCUAAAUACGUGCCAGCAGCCGCGGUAAUACGUAUGGUGCAAGCGUUAUCCGGAUUUACUGGGCGUAAAGGGAGCGCAGGCGGCGCGCCAAGUCUGAUGUGAAACCCCGGGGCUCAACCCCGGGCAUGCAUUGGAAACUGGCGGGCUGGAGUGCCGGAGAGGUAAGCGGAAUUCCUAGUGUAGCGGUGAAAUGCGUAGAUAUCAGGAGGAACACCGGUGGCGAAGGCGGCCUGCUGGACUGCAACUGACGUUGAGGCCCGAAAGCGUGGGGAGCAAACAGGAUUAGAUACCCGUGUAC
rnacentral:rRNA from 1 species